rnacentral:rRNA from 1 species
UACGUAGGGGGCAAGCGUUGUCCGGAAUCAUUGGGCGUAAAGAGCGUGUAGGCGGCCAGAUAAGUCCGCUGUGAAAACUCGAGGCUCAACUUCGAGCUGUCGGUGGAAACUAUUUGGCUAGAGUCCGGAAGAGGAGAGUGGAAUUCCUGGUGUAGCGGUGAAAUGCGCAGAUAUCAGGAAGAACACCCGUGGCGAAAGCGGCUCUCUGGGACGGUACUGACGCUGAGACGCGAAAGCGUGGGGAGCGAACAGG